rnacentral:rRNA from 1 species
UACGGAGGGGCUAGCGUUGUUCGGAAUUACUGGGCGUAAAGCGCGCGUAGGCGGACCUGCAAGUCGGGGGUGAAAGCCCGAGGCUCAACCUCGGAACUGCCUUCGAUACUGCGGGUCUCGAGUCCGGGAGAGGUGAGUGGAAUUCCUAGUGUAGAGGUGAAAUUCGUAGAUAUUAGGAAGAACACCAGUGGCGAAGGCGGCUCACUGGCCCGGUACUGACGCUGAGGC